ACAGAAGGAGGAGGAGGAGGAGGAGGUUUUUAUUUUCACCUGUGUGGAUUAAAUCUGGUUGAUUGUGAAGCUGUAAUCUGGAUUAGGUUUUUAUUGUGAUGGUGACUCAGGGAAAAUGGCGUCGCGUCUGCAUGAGUCAUCGCGGCCUGCUGCACAAACUGCUGAGUCAUGGGUUAAAUCAAUGAUUUCCGUCCCUGCUCAGGAAAUGGAAUCAUUUAAGAGACUUUCUGCUGCUCGUCUCCACUGCACAGAGGACACGAGUGAGGACAGAAGUGAGGACACGUGUGAGGACAGAAGUGUCUGCUGCUCAGCUGGACAAUGAACUUCUGUCUGUCCAUCUGUGUCUCUGUCCAAACCUCUGUCGCUGUCUAAAGCUGUGCUUAAACCUCACAGGUGCUAGUUUGGCUAAUGCUGGCUUAGCUCACGGGUGCUAGUUUGGCUAAUGCUGGCUUUGCUCACAGGU